rnacentral:rRNA from 1 species
UACACAUGCAGUCGAGCGGAAACGAGUUAUCUGAACCUUCGGGAACGAUAACGGCGUCGCGNNNCGGACGGGUGAGUAAUGCCUAGGAAAUUGCCCUGAUGUGGGGGAUAACCAUUGGAAACGAUGGCUAAUACCGCAUGAUGCCUACGGGCCAAAGAGGGGGACCUUCGGGCCUCUCGCGUCAGGAUAUGCCUAGGUGGGAUUAGCUAGUUGGUGAGGUAAGGGCUCACCAAGGCGACGAUCCCUAGCUGGUCUGAGAGGAUGAUCAGCCACACUGGAACUGAGACACGGUCCAGACUCCUACGGGAGGCAGCAGUGGGGAAUAUUGCACAAUGGGCGCA